AGGCUUAACACAUGCAAGUCGAGCGCCCCGCAAGGGGAGCGGCAGACGGGUGAGUAACGCGUGGGAAUCUACCUUUUGCUACGGAAUAACGCAGGGAAACUUGUGCUAAUACCGUAUGUGUCCUUCGGGAGAAAGAUUUAUCGGCAAGAGAUGAGCCCGCGUUGGAUUAGCUAGUUGGUGGGGUAAAGGCCUACCAAGGCGACGAUCCAUAGCUGGUCUGAGAGGAUGAUCAGCCACAUUGGGACUGAGACACGGCCCAAACUCCUACGGGAGGCAGCAGUGGGGAAUAUUGGACAAUGGGCGCAAGCCUGAUCCAGCCAUGCCGCGUGAGUGAUGAAGGCCCUAGGGUUGUAAAGCUCUUUCACCGGAGAAGAUAAUGACGGUAUCCGGAGAAGAAGCCCCGGCUAACUUCGUGCCAGCAGCCGCGGUAAUACGAAGGGGGCUAGCCGUUGUUCGGAAUUACUGGGCCGUAAAGCGCACGUAGGCCGGAUCGAUCAGUCAGGGGUGAAAUCCCAGGGCUCACCCUGGAACUGGCUUUGAUACUG
rnacentral:rRNA from 1 species